rnacentral:ncRNA from 1 species
GCAAAGCGCCAGAGCCGCCCCGGCGGCUGACGAGGUGGGAGGUUAUCGAAGUUUUCGGCGGGUGCCUCCCCGUCACGCUUCCUGACGCAGCCGCUUUUAAAACCUCCGGGCAACCGGACCGACAGAGGAA